UACGGAGGGUGCAAGCGUUGUUCGGAAUCACUGGGCUUAAAGCGUGUGUAGGCGGAGUGCUAAGUACCUUGUGAAAUCCCACGGCUCAACCGUGGAACUGCUUGGUAUACUGGUUCUCUUGAGCCACCUAGGGGCAACCGGAACAAACGGUGGAGCGGUGAAAUGCGUAGAUAUCGUUUGGAACGCCAAUGGUGAAAACAGGUUGCUGGGGGUGUGCUGACGCUGAGACACGAAAGCCAGGGGAGCAAACGGG
rnacentral:rRNA from 1 species